rnacentral:rRNA from 1 species
AGUAAAGUGGCGUACGGGUGAGUAACACGUGGAUCAUCUACCUUUUAGUGGGGAAUACCGUUGGGAAACCGACGACAAUACCGCAUAAGCUCGAGAGAGGAAAGCAGCAAUGCGCUGAAAGAGGAGUCCGCGGCCGAUUAGCUAGUUGGUAGGGUAAUGGCCUACCAAGGCUGUGAUCGGUAGCCGGCCUGAGAGGGCACACGGCCACACUGGCACUGAAACACGGGCCAG